CGUAGGGUGCGAGCGUUGUCCGGAAUUACUGGGCGUAAAGGGCUCGUAGGUGGUUUGUCGCGUCGUCUGUGAAAUUCCGGGGCUUAACUCCGGGCGUGCAGGCGAUACGGGCAUAACUUGAGUACUGUAGGGGUAACUGGAAUUCCUGGUGUAGCGGUGAAAUGCGCAGAUAUCAGGAGGAACACCGAUGGCGAAGGCAGGUUACUGGGCAGUUACUGACGCUGAGGAGCGAAAGCAUGGGUAGCGAACAGGAUUAGAUACCCUGGUAGUC
rnacentral:rRNA from 1 species